AUGGCAGUGAGCCUGGUCUUCUGGUUGGUUGGUUGGUUGGUCGGUCGGUCGGUCGGUCGGUCGUUUGUUCGGUUUCCU
rnacentral:pre_miRNA from 1 species